rnacentral:rRNA from 1 species
AACGAACGUUAGCGGCGCGCCUAACACAUGCAAGUCGAACGCGACAGGGGCAACUCUGUUGAGUGGCGCACGGGUGAGUAACACGUAGGUAAUCUCCCCCCGAGUGGUGGAUAACCUUCCGAAAGGAGGGCUAAUACAGCAUAAGACCACGGCUUCGAAAGGAGCUGAGGUCAAAGCGGAGGAUCGCAAGACUUCGCGCUUGGGGAGAAGCCUGCGGCCCAUCAGGUAGUUGGCGGGGUAACAGUCCAACAAGCCUAAGACGGGUAGCUGGUCUGAGAGGAUUAUCAGCCACACUGGAACUGAGACACGGGCCAGACUCCUACGGGAGGCAGCAGUGGGGAAUCUUGCGCAAUGGACGAAAGUCUGACGCAGCGACGCCGCGUGGGUGAUGAAGGCCUUCGGGUUGUAAAGCCCUGUGGGGAGGGACGAAUAAGUUUCAGCUAAUACCUGAAGCGAUGACGGUACCUCCUUAGCAAGCACCGGCUAACUCUGUGCCAGCCGCCGCGGUAA